UGUAUGCACGUGAAAGUGUUAUGUAUAUGUGCAUGUAUAUAUAUAUAUCUAUCUAUCUGUAUGUAUGUAGAUCGAUCAAGCUGUGAGUUCAGUAAAAGCUUAUAUUUCACAAGUAUAGUCUUUCUUUCUCACCUAUACAUAUACAUAUAUACACACACACACACACACACACACAUAUAUAUAUAUAUAAACACAUUUAUUUAUUAUCUACUGUACAUAUGGAUCUAUAACUGAAAGCUCCCAAGCUACGCAGCAGUAAAAAAACACGAAGAAACUGGAAUUCUGUCUCACAAUACACACACACACACAAAACAAAAGUGAAGUUACAAUACAUAAAUUAUGUAGGGGUUUGAAGAACCCGCACAUGGAGUGUUUCAAGAAGUCACCAGAACGAUAGCAAAUGACAAUUUUUUAUUGAUUGUUAAAACAGUUAUUGUUUAGCCCAAGGUCAGAACUGACCAAGCAGAGCUAUGAUCAUAGACAUUCCAUCUGUGACCACCCGGUAUUCUUUUUUUCCUAUGUGCACAGAACUCAGGACCAUACCAUCUAGAGCGCUUUUUCUUCAAAGUUGGUAGUAAGUGAUGAGGGAGAUUUGGCUGCUAUUUCCAGCAGGCAGAACGACCAUGUAAAGGCUCCGUCUUUUGCUUCGAACACCUGUGUUUUAGAUGAACAAGACAACCCUCUGGUACUGGUAGACAAAUGAAUGGAGACAACAUAGGGUAGAGAGAACUGUUUAGUCUUACAGAGAACAUAACAACCUCUGUAGUGUUGGUGCCAUAGUAAAAAGCACUCUCUUCACACACUGUAAGGUGGUUAUCUACAGAAAAAAUGCCAAGAAUGGAAUAUACAAGAGAGAUGUGCUGCCCAAUCUAUCUCAUUUAUACAUGAUACCCUGAUUCAGUCCACAACAACCUGUACAUGCAAGCAGGGAAAGUAAACAUUAAGUAAAGAUGAUGAUUAUGACAUAACAGUUGGAAAUAAGCCAAUACAGGGCUAGUCAUUGUGUCACAAGGCUUGUUAAAAAUAGCAACUAUAUCUCCCUCAAACUAUAUCCUGCCAGCCAUCUUAAGAUACAUUUGAUAACCUAAUACUGAACACAGUGUCUAAAAAACAAAAAUUAAAAAGAUGGGGGGAUGAUUAUAGUUGCAAUAACUUUUGAUUACAGAUGUGCCUGAUCAGGGCUGACAGCUCAACAGUUGCUGCUGAGAACCCCAUAUCCGCUGGUUUCGUUUAUUGGUCUGUGAAUCUGCUGUAGAACUGCCUUGGAUGCAGAGUUUAGCUGAUCAAAUUGCUUCCCGUAUCACAGGUACAGGAGAAGCUGUGUGGUCCACACUAUGGCUCAAGAACUUCUCCAGUUGCCCUGACACAAUAAAGCAUCCAGUCCUUUUUCUUCAGUUAAACACCAAACAAGGAAUGAGUUGAAGUCACUGAAGGAGCCUCUACAGGGUCACUCAAUCUGCUAGAAAUAACAGGAAGGAGAAUGUGUAAUGUUUAUCAAGAAGUAAGUUCAAACAAGGAAAAAAGACUGGGAGGAAAAAGGCCAAGCCGAACCUGUUUAGCAACCUCAGCAAUGUUGAAACAAUCAGGACUAAAUCAAAUGGAAAGAUGUGGUAGAUCAAUGGCUUCGUGACAAGUGGUACCAACACCAAAUGGCAAGUGGAGGAAUUCUCCAAAAUUGACAUGCCAUUAAAGAAAUGACCAUCUGAGUAAGUUACUUGUGUGAUAAACAAAUAUACUAGCCAAUAAUUUAAUAGAAUAAGUUGACAUCUUCAUACUACUUGCCUUCAAAAUAUUAUUAAUAUCAAUAAAAAUCAAUAUCAUUUAUUACAAACUUUUUUUUAGAUGUAUUGAUCUCACAAUAAAAAUAAUAAUUUCCUGAAUUGCAACAGAGGUUUUUAAUAGCAACACUAGCGCCCUCCCCCUCUCUAUCUAUCUAUCUCUUCAUCCCAACUUUUUAUUGCUCAUCUCUGAGUUAAAAAUGGUACUUUUUAUAUAUUUUUUUAAAGAAAUUAAAGAGGAUAUUGGGUAGUAGGAUGCAAUGGAAUGACAGUUGAGAGUUAAACUGAUGAUCUUUAAACAAAGACUCUAGCAGAUUGAUUAUAAGAACACUAUGUCACUCAAGAAUGAUACAAAACAAUACAUAAGAAAUUUCCAAUCAGUGA
rnacentral:lncRNA from 1 species